UAAAAAACCGGAUCAUUUAAACCGAAAACCGGCAAAAUAACACCCCGGAAGGAAGUAGGGGCCAAAAUCAAACUCGACAACAAAAUUACGUGAAAAAACCUUAAUUUGCUUCAAAGUUUUAACUUUAUGAAAAUAGUAAAUAAAUGGUGAGAGUGGAUGACAGUUGCACUUGACUAUCUACUUUUUCAAUACUCACGCUAGGAGAGAGACAAAGCGCAUACUGCCAUCAAUCAUCUCUCCCGAAGAUCUUGAUGAGGAAGACUGUGUUGUUGAUCGGCGACGACGACUCAAAGACAACGAGUUGGGAGGUCCGGACACGACGAUGGCAAGAGCCGGAAAAAGGCAACAGUGGGCAAAAUUCAGCAGGGAAAGGGGAAGAAUUAACUAUUAAGUCACCGGUAGAAAGGAUGGCAAGUGGGAGGUGGCCGGGUGGGAGGAAGUCUUACCCCCCUCAACGGCCGGUGGUCUUUGUUUAUUAAGAAAGCAGGCUAUUGUAUUUAGUAAUAUUGACUAUAUUCUAUAAGUUAACUUUUCAAUGACAAUUAUUUAGUAAAAAACAGCCAACAAUAUCAAAUGUUAAAUGUAACUAUAACUAAUCAUCCUAAACCAUGCAAUCGAGAUAAGCACAAAAAUGUAGAAGAACGACAAGGGACUGAUUCGGAGUCUUUAUCUUCUUCUACACAACCUAGCUAGCAGCUAGGGUCAAAAGGUUUUACAAGCCGUCGGCGAAAGGCCGGAGAAGAUCGGAGAACGGCAGAACGGGCAAGAAGGCUGUUUCCGGUGAAGCAAUUGACCGACGCAGUCGGAGUGGAAGACGUGUCGACACCUGCUGAGCUGACAAACAACGUCAUCAAGAUGGUAAUCAGCAGAGCAUACGAAGCACAUCUCUUCCACGGAUCUCUGUCGCCUUUCCAGCAGAUCUUCGAACCUGAUAACCGGAAGAUCGACGAGACUUGGGUAUGGAGUAGAGUUUUCGCAUCGAAACAAGUAGAAGAAAAAGUCCUUGAUUAAACUGAGCAACUCGUGCUUGAUACGGAAGACUGGGAAGAGAAUACAGAGGUAGAAGAUGAAGUUCAUCAACAUAUUUGAUACGUCUUCUUUGGGUCUGCGAUUUUCUUUGUUGUGUUGAAAUUUGCGGAUGAAUCGAUGGGUUUAUAAGGAAAAGUGGGCCCUUGCCGGCGUGUCGAGAGACAUGCUUUCGUUUUCAUUAGUUAUAUAAAAUUAAGAAAUAAAAAAAUGAUUUUAUAUUUAAUAGUAAGGUUUUUAUUUGUCUCCAUAAAUCUGAUUGUCAUAAAUUAAGGUUUUCAUGUUCGUUCUUUAUUAAGGGUACCUACUUGGGUACGUGUUUGGAAUUGCUUACUUAAAACUGUUUAUUAGCACUUUUUCAAUUCUACAGAA